CUCUCUGUGUGUGUGUGUGUGUGUGUGUGUGUGUGUGUGUGUGUGUGUGUGUGUGUGUGUGUGUGUGUGUGUGUGUGUGUGUGUGUGUGUGUGUUUUAAAAUGCGUGCCCAUGACGUGGCAUAGGCCAGCUUCAGUGCCCCUACUUAUUUAGGCUACCAGACUGGAAAAUUAAUUGGAUUUUAAUUUAACAAUAUCACCCACGGAGAGAAGCGUUGUGAUGGUUAUAGCCUGGAUUCUUCAGUGUAGCUAAAGUGGACUUUCAGGAAGUGAGGUGGCAACGGGACACAAAAGUGCUCACCCCGGCAACGCUUCAAGAGAGCGCUUCUCCAUAGCAACUGUGUGGCAGCCUGUGCCAGUUCUGUCCCUGCGGUUCUUUGAGCCCAGGAGAAUGUCAGGAGAGAUUUGGAACUUUCGCUUGGGCUUGGAUGAAUAGCAGUCCACCGACCAUCCCCUCCCCCCUCCACUAUUUCCUUUAGUCGAGAGGCCUAAACAAGCAACUUCAACCGUCAGGUUUAUGGGUCUUAAUGUUUUUGUCUGACACCGCAUUACUCUGGCUGAAAAUACUUACUUGUGCUCUUUCAAAGUUUUGAUAAGGGCUUUCCAGAGGGUGGUGUGGUCAGUCCAACGCAUCACCAGGGGCACACUGCCUGCCCUCCAGGACAUCUACAGCACCUGGUGGCACAGGAAGGCCA